CAGGGUGUACAGUAAUCCUGUGUGUGUUGGUUUUCCAGGUGCAGACCCGCAGUGCUGAUGAACCGAUGACCACCUCGUCUUCUGUAAUGACUGUGGAAACAGAUGGAAGUUCUGUUGAGAUCGGGAGGAGGAGACCUUCAGACAGAACCUCUGACCCCUGGUACCAAUCAACCAACCAUACAGACGCACCCACUAUUUCUAUUGGCAGAUAUUGUCCAUAGCCACGCCCCUGUCCCCACCCAUCAGCCAUUCAGAUGAUGAUCAACAUAGUUUCUUCUGUUACCAUCCAACAUUUUAUAUGUAGUUUUAACAUUUAGACAAAACUUGUAUYGACAAUUUACUAUUGAGUUUAGCUUCUUCGACCUUCAUGAAUUUUUAUUUUAUUUAAAUUACCAUUAAAAUUUUAUCCAUUUGUUUAAAAAA